GAUGAACGCUGGCGGCGUGCCUAAUACAUGCCAGUCGAGCGAACAGACGAGGAGCUUGCUCCUCUGACGUUAGCGGCGGACGGGUGAGUAACACGUGGAUAACCUACCUAUAAGACUGGGAUAACUUCGGGAAACCGGAGCUAAUACCGGAUAACAUGUUGAACCGCAUGGUUUAACAGUGAAAGACGGUCUUGCUGUCACUUAUAGAUGGAUCCGCGCCGCAUUAGCUAGUUGGUAAGGUAACGGCUUACCAAGGCAACGAUGCGUAGCCGACCUGAGAGGGUGAUCGGCCACACUGGAACUGAGACACGGUCCAGACUCCUACGGGAGGCAGCAGUAGGGAAUCUUCCGCAAUGGGCGAAAGCCUGACGGAGCAACGCCGCGUGAGUGAAGAAGGUCUUCGGAUCGUAAAACUCUGUUAUUAGGGAAGAACAAAUGUGUAAGUAACUAUGCACGUCCUGACGGUACCUAAUCAGAAAGCCACGGCUAACUACGUG
rnacentral:rRNA from 1 species